AGCUGUUCCAGUGUGCACCAUGUCCUAAUCCUGAAGAUGAAGAAAUUUGGGGGCUGAAUCACAAUUCCUGCCUGUUUUUGUUGUGUCGUGAAGCUUAUUCUUUAAUGCAUUUCUUAACUCUUCAGGAAGAAGAAACUCUGUCCAGCAGCAAGCUGCUGAGCUCCCAAGAGCCUGCUCGUCAGGAACUUCAGAGUCCUGAAGACAGCUUGAGUGAGCCAUCGCAGGAGGACCAAGACACUGAAAACCAAGAAGGCAGUACAGAGGAUUCUUCUAGACAGCUGUGUCUCUGUCCUGAGACAAGAACAUCCCUCUCUUCAGGAGCCUCUGAAGAAGACAAUGAGACAAAGAGAGCAGAAGAUUUUUGCAGGUAUGACAUCAGCAUCCCCCUACAUCUCAGAAGAUAGCAGCUGUCAUGCUCUGACAUGGUUUAGGGGUACCCACUGAUAGGGUUCAGAAGACUUUCUUCUCUUUAUCCUGAGCCUUUCCUGCCUCACCAUCACUGCCCCCUGCCCCAUACUUAGUUCACUCCUCUAGCUUCCUGGUGGAAGGGCUUUAUUCUCAAAGCACCCAAAUGAGAAAGAGCUGCGGGAUGCCUCCGGGGUGUCUCCACCAACACAUCCUGCGCCCACAGGCUCCGGAGCCUCAUUUAAUCUCUGACCCUUCCCCACGGACCUUGCCUGAGCUACGCCACAGGGGGCCUGUGCCCGACCUUGCUGAUUCUGCCCUUGCCUUGCCCACCUGAUUUCCUGGCUUGUCCGUGACCUGCCUCGUCGCUAUGGGCUUGCUGGCAACUGCCAAAGUGUCAGCUGGCCCUGGUUACUGUCACCACUGUUAUGGAAAUUAGGCUUGUUGGCCACCAUAACAGGGCUCGACCCUAGGUUCCCGCAAGUAAAGUUCAGAGCCAAAUCAAAACAAAUUAAAUUUUAAUCACGCGCGUGCCAUAAUUACAGCUCGAGCUGGGUGCCUCCUAAGAGGGACCCUAACAUAAACAAAUCCUGGGCAAUUACAGUUUUUUCAACUUACAUUUCCCACCCCUCACGCGAUAGUUAGACCAAUAGUAAUUUUUUGGCCUGGGGUCUCCUGCUCCUCAUUGGGUCUCAUCGUCAUUCUGAGGUAAGCUGUUUUUCUCCUUAUUUUUGUUUUUUGCGGUCUCUGAUGACGGUUGUACCUCUGUUUUUGUUGGGUCUUACUGUUGUGUCUUAAGGUCCUGAGGAGGACGUGAUUCUAAAUCAUAACAAUUAACACUGCCCCAGCAGUGAGCUGAGGCUUUGUCCCUCAAGGUCCUAAUGCCCUGCGCUGGUCUUCUUUCAAAGCCUUGACACCCUCCCUUUCGGGGUGUGAGAUACAUUCCUGCAGACACCCUCCCUUUCGGGGUGUGAGAGGCAGGAAUGCAGACUGCUUGUAACUUCCUUAUCUUCCUAGCUUGAACCAGCUCUGAGGCCCUUUUCUUACUGGACUAAGUAAAAGUUCAUUAUUUUAUCUAAGUGCGGCCUAAGGCUUCAGCAAAUUUAGCUACUCAUGCUAAGCAAAUGUUAUAGAAGUUGUGCUAAGCAGCUACCUCUAGACAGUUUCAGUUUGCUAUUCUUUAACAGUUCCCCCCUUUGUUUUUAUGAAGCAUCCCUGCUAAUACUUUAAACAGAGUUCUCAAAGCCUUGCAAGGCGUACUAUCACGUUCCAUAAUCUUAUGCAUGAUAUGAUCGUAAGCAAUAGGCAUAACACAGUUAAAGUUAGCACAACUACUACUGGGUGCAACACAUGAUUAUAAACGCUGUUGUAGUUGGUGACCACCCUAGAAGAGUUUCCCAGCCAUGAUGUUCUCCGUCCCUUUUUAUCCUUUCCGAGACGUGGUGUAUCUCUUCCGCAUCAUGACGAAUGGUGAUUAGAGUUUUCUGUCCACUGUUUCGGAUGCGUUCUAGCAGUCAACGCAAAUCAUCAUGUUAUAGUAGUUUCUUUACCAGGGUGAGAUUCAUCCCAAUGGGGGUAGGUAGUAAAUUUUGAAUUAAUGUAUGAGUAGAUUGUAACAAUUGAUAAGAUCUAAUAGGAGCUGAAUAAUUAAAGUCGCAUCCCAUAAUCUUGGGUAAAGUUACAAAUACAAAUAUUUGAGUGAUGACUUGUAUCUACAGCAAUGUUAUCUAUGAAUAUAAGAUUACAAAGUGUUCUUA